rnacentral:rRNA from 1 species
UACGAAGGGUGCAAACGUUGUUCGGAAUUACUGGGCGUAAAGCGCGUGUAGGCGGCUUGGCAAGUCGGGUGUGAAAGCCCCGGGCUCAACCUGGGAAGUGCACUCGAAACUGCUUGGCUUGAGUACUGGAGAGGGAAGCGGAAUUCUCGGUGUAGAGGUGAAAUUCGUAGAUAUCGAGAGGAACACCGGUGGCGAAGGCGGCUUCCUGGACAGUAACUGACGCUGAGACGCGAAAGCGUGGGGAGCAAACAGG